UACGUAGGGUGCGAGCGUUAAUCGGAAUUACUGGGCGUAAAGCGUGCGCAGGCGGUUUUGUAAGCCAGAUGUGAAAUCCCCGGGCUUAACCUGGGAAUGGCAUUUGGGACUGCAAGGCUCGAGUGCGGCAGAGGAGACUGGAAUUCCUGGUGUAGCAGUGAAAUGCGUAGAUAUCAGGAGGAACACCGAUGGCGAAGGCAAUCCCCUGGGCCUGCACUGACGCUCAUGCACGAAAGCGUGGGGAGCAAACGGG
rnacentral:rRNA from 1 species